GGCUUCAUAACUCAGUUGGUAGAGCAUCACACUGGUAAGGUGAAGGUCAUGGGUUAAAUCCCGUUGAAGCCU